rnacentral:lncRNA from 1 species
GGCUACUUUCUGUUUGUUUCCUUUAACAGGAAGGUGUAUAUCCCUUUUCUCCCAUGCCUCAUUUGUUUUCCAUCCUCAGGAAGAAGGAAUUUAAAAAGCUGGAGACUUGAAAGCAUUUUGCUAAAAUAUAUUUACGUGACAGAUUCCUCUGGAGAGAUUCAUCUCUGGUUYGUGGUAGCUAUUUCUGUUUGAUUACGUAUGGCAGGUGAACAACUGACUGAAGACUUCUAAUCAGUUUUUGGUCAUAAACAGACCUCAGAAGAAUUACACCUAUGAUCUCUCUGGCAUUAGGUUCUCUACUGCAGUGGUGGUUUCCAUUGAGCUAUAUUAAGAUAGCCAAAGUUGCUUUACUCUUUCAGAUACUUGCAAAUUUAGGUAUAUGA